rnacentral:rRNA from 1 species
CUUGGUGACUUUAGCGAAGGGGGUACACCUGUUCCCAUUCCGAACACAGAAGUUAAGCUUUUCAACGCCGAUGGUAGUGUGAUCUAAUCAUGCAAGAGUAGGUAGUCGCCAAGA